GAAUUCUGGUGCCAAGCUACCUCGGCAAAUACUUUGUUGUUUCGCAAUCUUGAGCACAUUUUGCUUGUUUCUUACAGAAUAGACAGGUUUGUUUGUCUACCCUUCUCUUUCUCUGUGCCUUUCAUUCUCCUACUGGCUGUUUGAGAGAGGUAACCGCAUGUUUAUAAUAAGGAUAAAAAUAUAUAUUCCAGAUCAUGAAUUAAUAGCCAGGAGAUACCCGAUGAAUUCCCC